rnacentral:misc_RNA from 1 species
GUGAGUCAUCGAAUCUUUGAACGCAAAUUGCACUCGAGGCUCCGGCUGAGAGUAUGUCUGCCUCAGCGUCGGCUUUACCCUCACCCCUCUUUUUCGAGAGAAGAAGAGGCGUGGACCUGGUCGUCCCGGUCACUAAGACCGGGUCUGCCGAAGAACAGAGGCUCGAACGAGGACCCAAUCGGGACAACAGUCUGGUAGGUGACCUGUCAGGGAUCGCAUGCCGCUGUCGGCCCGGGACCUCGUUGUAAGCCGGCAGGAAUCGCCGGUCGUUUUUUCCUUACCAAAGAAAAAGCGGCCGUG